GACGAACGCUGGCGGCGUGCUUAACACAUGCAAGUCGAGCGGUAAGGCCCUUUCGGGGGUACGACGAGCGGCGAACGGGUGAGUAACACGUGGGUGACCUGCCCUCAGCUCUGGGAUAAGCCUGGGAAACCGGGGUCUAAUACCGGAUAUGACUCCAUGACGCAUGUUGUGGGGUGGAAAGCCUUGUGCGGCUGAGGAUGGGCCCGCGGCCUAUCAGCUUGUUGGUGGGGGGAU
rnacentral:rRNA from 1 species